GUGUCAGCAGCCGCGGUAAGACGAAGGUGGCAAGCGUUGUUCGGUAUCACUGGGCUUAAAGCGUGUGUAGGCGGAAAAGUAAGCGUCUUGUGAAAUCCCCCGGCUUAACCGGGGAACUGCGUGACGAACUGCUUUUCUUGAGGCAAGUAGGGGUGCAUGGAACUCUUGGUGGAGCGGUGGAAUGCGUAGAUAUCAAGAGGAACGCCAGUGGUGAAAACGGUGCACUGGGCUUGUCCUGACGCUGAGACACGAAAGCGUGGGGAGCGAACGGGAUUAGAAACCCCCGUAGUCC
rnacentral:rRNA from 1 species